UACGUAGGUGACAAGCGUUGUCCGGAUUUACUGGGCGUAAAGAGCGCGCAGGCGGUCGUUCAAGUCGCGUGUGAAAGCCCCCGGCUCAACUGGGGAGGGUCACGCGAUACUGAUCGACUCGAAGGCAGGAGAGGGUAGUGGAAUUCCCGGUGUAGUGGUGAAAUGCGUAGAUAUCGGGAGGAACACCAGUGGCGAAGGCGACUACCUGGCCUGUUCUUGACGCUGAGGCGCGAAGGCUAGGGGAGCAAACGGG
rnacentral:rRNA from 1 species